AUUGAACGCUGGCGGUAGGCCCAACACAUGCAAGUCGAACGGUAGCACAGUAAGAGCUUGUUAUUACGGGUGGCGAGUGGCGGACGGGUGAGGAAUACAUCGGAAUCUACUUUUUCGUGAGGGAUAACGUAGGGAAACUUACGCUAAUACCGCAUACGGCCUACGGGUGAAAGCAGGGGAUCUUCGGACCUUGCGCGAUUGAAUGAGCCGAUGUCGGAUUAGCUAGUUGGCGGGGUAAAGGCCCACCAAGGCGACGAUCCGUAGCUGGUCUGAGAGGACGAUCAGCCACACUGGAACUGAGACACGGUCCAGACUCCUACGGGAGGCAGCAGUGGGGAAUAUUGGACAAUGGGCGCAAGCCUGAUCCAGCAAUGCCGCGUGCAGGAAGAAGGCCUUCGGGUUGUAAAGUCCUUUUGUUGGGAAAGAAAAGCAGCAGGUUAAUACCCCGCUGUUCUGACGGUACCCAAAGAAUAAGCACCGGCUAACUUCGUG
rnacentral:rRNA from 1 species